rnacentral:lncRNA from 1 species
UCAUUGCUAGGCGCGGACAACGUCCCGUAAACAAAGAACACUCAGACAUUGUGGAUUGAGCUAUAAUAAGUGGGAGAAAGAGCUAAUUCUAAUUCUGCCUGGAGGAAGGGCACUGCAAGUCAUGGAAUUUGUACUGUCUAGGGGACUGCAUAUUGGAGCUGGAAGAGGGUUUUUCCAGAGGAAGUAACUGGAGAUGAGGUGGGACGGGACAGGCUGGGACGAAGAAUUUGGGCUUCUUGAUGUUGGCAAUUGGGACCCCGCUGAGAAAUGCGAGCAGUUCUGUGUUGAAGUCAGAACACCUGCCACUAGCAAUUUGUACAACUUUGGGAAAGUUUCUCUAGGGGACCCCGCUUCCACAUCUAUAAAUCAGAGUACCCACUUCACAGUUUGCUGUGAGACCUGUGUGAUAGAGGAAUGACUGAUUCGUCACCUAUAGAGCAGGGUUGUGAGAUAAAGAUGUUUGUGUAGGAAAGCUUAAGCCGUUCUCCUCUGCUACGUGGUGUAAAGAUCCCAGGUGGGUUGUACCUUCUGAAAACGUGGGCGGGUUCUUCGCGCUGCCCCUCCCUCUUAACCCCUCUCCUCUCCCCACCCCUACCCUCUCUUCCUUCUUCCUUAUUUGUGUUCUUUCUUGGGAACAAAUGACAUAUCCAGCAGAGAGUGACGCUCAAUAAAUGAGACUGUACGACGAUUCAAUACUCAGGAAAAGAAGGUGCUGUAUGCAUUCAAGUUAAAGGGCUGUAAAUAUUUUCGUAAUUCUAACAGAACUUUGCCCUCUUCUGCGAUCUCAGUGUGUGCUCGGUGCUGACUUCAUCCCCUCCCAUAAAAAUACUGUCCGUACGCGGUGGAGCCCUUGAAACCCUGCCCUUCUCAGCCCUAAUCCUCGUUCUUUAGUCCUGCACACUUCCUUCUACCCUACGCGCGCGCUAGGUGGAGUCUCCGGUCCUUAGUAAAGGGAAGGCUUCUUCGCCCCCUGGUGGUCAUAAGUGGAAAAGGUGAGUAAAUCAGAAAUCCUGUCCCCCCCCCUGCUUCCCAUAACAAAUUUUCGUUAGUCUGGAUAGCUAGGUCGUCGCGCUUCAGGAAAAGAGCUUCUCCUGAGGGAGACAGCUAUGUGAACAACUCUUUACGUUAGAAGUCUGAAAAGGGCCGUACGAAUCGGGAGUAAGGAUCAAGGAUGGCCAUUCAGCCUCUGCCGGAACACAUCCCGGGAUGGAACAUCCUAGUCCUCCUGGGAAAAGGAGAAAGAGCCCUUUAACUGCAGCUGGAUCCAGGAACCCAGGCGGGGAAGCAUCAGCAGAGUACUUUUAUUCUGGCAUUCUAUGUGAAGGCAGAAGUCUGGGUUCCACUUGCGAGUUGUGUACAAUAAACUGAAGAAAAUCAGGAAUCCAGGUGCAGCUUAGGAAUCAGUCCUCAGGUGCUGUUGGACUUGGUUCCGUGCUGGCUAUUGGCUGGAGGCUGUCCUCAGUUCCUUGCCGUGUGGACCUCUCUGUAGGGCAGCUCACAACAUGGCAGAUGGCUUCCAUCAGAGCAAGGAGUCAUUAGGUUCAGCUCACACUCAAGGUGAGGGGAUUACACGACGGAAUGAAGACCAGGAGCCAUCUCAGUGGCUCCCUAGGACACAGCUCAAAUCUGCUCUUUCAUCCCGUGUCAGACCUGGACAGCUCUGACCCAUUCUCCAAGCCUCAGAGUAGAUGCUUUACCCUCCAGGAUUGAGUUAAUGGUCCUUCAAGCAUGCCUCUGUGACACCCUGGACUUCUCCAUCAUAGCCCCCACCACAGCAUGUCAUUACCUAGCCACUGGUCUGCCUCCUGCCCCUUCUGUAAGCUCUGUGAGGACAGCCACCUUGUCUCUUGUCUUCACUGAUGUGGACCCAGACCCAAGCAUAGGGCCAAAACAUACUGGGCACUCGGGGUAUGUUUACUAAAUUUAUUAAACGA